GUUUAUCUCAACGUUCUUGAGAAUCGUCUCGGACCAAUGGUAGUUGGCUAAACUGAAAUGACGCUGCAUAGUCAAUGUAACUUCAUUUUUAUUUGUUUAUCAUGUUACAGACGGCAAAAGCAAAAUAACUUUUGCGUUAUAAAGCAAAUAUCAACGCUGAUAUAUCAUUUGAUUUUUUUUUGAUUAUUGUGUAAUAGUAUUUGCUGCAUGUCAAAAUCUAUUCAAGUCUGUUUUUUAACAAAAAUCAAAAAUUUGAAAUGUUAAAUUGAACUUAUCAAUUUUUCAUGAAAUUAUAUCACCAUAUAGAAAUGCCAUUAUUAUAAUUGAUUAAGCCUUCAUAUUUUGUAAAAAUUGAUUCCGGAAAAGACCAGUUGACCCUCAAAUUGAAUUGGGUUUAUACGACAAUUAAUAUAUAAAUAUGCUAUGUUAUAUGAAUAAUAUUACUACAUUACUUAGAUUUAGAACAAGCCAUCAUUAACUGCCAAUUGAGACAUGCAGAUGAAACAAUAUACCUAGAAAUCAAAAAAUUUGUAAUUUAUGUAAAAAUAACAUUGGUGAUUAAUAUCAUUAUAUUAUGAUAUGUCCAGAUUUGAAAUAAAAAAGAAAAUCCUAUUUACCAUCAAUGUAUUAUAGACGACCAAAUGCUUCCAAAUUUCUUAAAAUUAUUUUCAUGUUUUAAAAAAAUUGCUGCUAUUAAUAACCUAUUUAAAUAUAUCAAUACAUGUAUUAUAGAUAAGAGAGUCAACUCUCCGGGUUGAUGUGUACAGUAUACACUCUUGCUUUAUGUAUAACAUUGUCUGUAUUGUAUAUUUUCUGUGUGUUGUUUUAUACAAUAGAAUAAAUAAGAGAGAAUAAAUAAAAUGAAAUG
rnacentral:misc_RNA from 1 species